UUGAUAAAACAGUAUUUUAUUAUGGUGAGCUUUCUGCAAUGGCUCAGGUAAACUUCCUGGUUGCUUAAAAAUAAUUUGUUUUAUCUCUAAAGAGACUGAGAGAGUGGAUAAAUCUGCUGCAGCAAAGCAAUAGAGCUUUCGAGUUCAUGUAGAACAUAUAGAAGAAACCUACUGUUAGGAAGAGCUGAUGAUUUUUCUCCAGUUUCAGAUGGCAGAAAUCUCCAAAUCUAAAGGGCCAGGAGCUUGGAUGUUGUUCCUGCGGGGCACCGGAGCCCUCCAGCCACAAAUUCCAGUUCCAGAGGAGCUGGGAAGGCGGACCAGGCGCUUUCCUGGGAUUCCCCGUGCCCGGUGUCUUUUCGGGAUGCGACCGCCAGGUGACACCAGAUCCCUGAUGCUGGGGGAUAUCCCGGGAAUUCCCUCUUUUCCCGGGAAUUCCCUCUUUUCCCGGGAAUUCCCGCUUUUCCCAGCCAUUCCUGCAAUUCCCGGCCAUUCCUGCAAUUCCCGGCCAUUCCCGCACCUUUGUCUCUUUUUGUCUGGCCAAACUAAGCCUUGGGAAGGUAAAACCACUUUGGUUUAUAUUUCAGACUCAAUAAAAUGAAAGUUGCCCAGAAGGUGGCUACAGAGAUGGAACUAAACUCCAAAUAUUGAACUUGCUGAAAAGAACCCCUCAAUUCGUGGUUUCAGAGUUCCCUAAGCCAGCACAUUUGUUUUGGGGGGCUCCGUGGAAGUCCUGGCUCCUGAAAAAGUCUCCUGGUCUGAAGGAUGUUUGUGAGGGGAACUUUGUAGAGGUUCUUUCAACCCAUCUGCCCUUCAUAUCGCAGGAUUUCCCAUCUUUGUGGAAAGCCUUUUGCUCCCAUCCUCCUAUCCCUGGCUUCCCUGGGUGUUUGUGCCACAGAAUUCCUGCAGGUCUGCAGCUGGAUGGAUUCUGCUCCUCAGGGGUUUGUACCUGCCCUGAGCUGGUUCCUGGUUCCUCUCUCCACACCUCCUGCUCCUGUGACAUUCCAGGUGUUUGAGGAACAUCUGGAAUUUUACAGGGCCUAAAGAACUUGGCUACUGAAAGAAACAGUGUUUCCUCCUCCACAAAGGAGUAAAUACCACAUUACACUCUUCUUCCACUUUUCUGCUCUCUUCACUGAGAGUAGAAGCUGUUGAAGGAAAAGUUAGUUGGGAACACCCAUGAUGUUUUAUUUCAAAGAGGUCUUUUUAUUCACCAGUUUUAUCUCAGAGCCAAAAAAGAAAUGGAAAAUAGAAAAUAGGAAAAAAAAAUCAGUUUUCUGAUGCCCAGUUUGUGACAAUUUUUUCACUGAGUUCAGAGAUGUUCAUUGUGUCACAAAACAUAAAACUGUGCUUGACAGAGUUCAAGCUUCCCAUGAUCUGAUUCAUUGGUGUGGGCCUCAAGCUCUGAGCAUCCCCUCUCUGCUUCACUUUGGAUGUGUCACAAGCUGCCUUUUCACCCCUGGGAAUGAGGGAUGGCAAUUUUCUUCUUCCAAUGUGUGGUUUAUUUAGACUAUAAAAACAUAAUCUCCCACAUAAUCUGUGUGUUUUUUUACAACUGAUUUUGUUUCAGUGGACGUCCC
ensembl:lncRNA